rnacentral:lncRNA from 1 species
AAAUUCCUUCUCGUGCAGAUACUGCCUUAAAGAUUUACAAUGGAUAUAAGGUAUGUCUAUAUGUGAGAGGGCAUAACCGCCAAUGUCUACUUCAGUUUAGGGUCCCAUGGAACCACCAUUGUUGAGUAUGUUAAAUACUACAUGCGUGAGAUUGUUCCUACUAAUACAUGUAGCAGUAUAUAUUUUCAUUUUGGUAACAACUGUUAUCUACAUUUGCACGAGUUAAGGGUGAGGUCUUUGGAUAAGGGUUUGGAA